UACGAAGGGGGCUAGCGUUGCUCGGAAUCACUGGGCGUAAAGCGCACGUAGGCGGAUUGCUAAGUCAGGGGUGAAGUCCUGGAGCUCAACUCCAGAACUGCCCUUGAUACUGGCGGUCUCGAGUCCGGGAGAGGUGAGUGGAACUGCGAGUGUAGAGGUGAAAUUCGUAGAUAUUCGCAAGAACACCAGUGGCGAAGGCGGCUCACUGGCCCGGUACUGACGCUGAGGUGCGAAAGCGUGGGGAGCAAACAGU
rnacentral:rRNA from 1 species